rnacentral:rRNA from 1 species
CACUGCCGAGAAAAGCCUCUAGAUAGAAAAUAGGUGCCCGUACCGCAAACCGACACAGGUAGUCAAGAUGAGAAUUCUAAGGUGAGCGAGCGAACUCUCGUUAAGGAACUCGGCAAAAUGACCCCGUAACUUCGGGAGAAGGGGUGCUCUUUAGGGUUAACGCCCAGAAGAGCCGCAGUGAAUAGGCCCAAGCGACUGUUUAUCAAAAACACAGGUCUCUGCUAAACCGUAAGGUGAUGUAUAGGGGCUGACGCCUGCCCGGUGCUGGAAGGUUAAGAGGAGUGGUUAGCUUCUGCGAAGCUACGAAUCGAAGCCCCAGUAAACGGCGGCCGUAACUAUAACGGUCCUAAGGUAGCGAAAUUCCUUGUCGGGUAAGUUCCGACCCGCACGAAAGGCGUAACGAUUUGGGCACUGUCUCAACGAGAGACUCGGUGAAAUCAUAGUACCUGUGAAGAUGCAGGUUACCCGCGACAGGACGGAAAGACCCCGUGGAGCUUUACUGUAGCCUGAUAUUGAAAUUCGGCACAGCUUGUACAGGAUAGGUAGGAGCCUUUGAAACGUGAGCGCUAGCUUACGUGGAGGCGCUGGUGGGAUACUACCCUAGCUGUGUUGGCUUUCUAACCCGCACCACUUAUCGUGGUGGGAGACAGUGUCAGGCGGGCAGUUUGACUGGGGCGGUCGCCUCCUAAAAGGUAACGGAGGCGCUCAAAGGUUCCCUCAGAAUGGUUGGAAAUCAUUCAUAGAGUGUAAAGGCAUAAGGGAGCUUGACUGCGAGACCUACAAGUCGAGCAGGGUCGAAAGACGGACUUAGUGAUCCGGUGGUUCCGCAUGGAAGGGCCAUCGCUCAACGGAUAAAAGCUACCCCGGGGAUAACAGGCUUAUCUCCCCCAAGAGUUCACAUCGACGGGGAGGUUUGGCACCUCGAUGUCGGCUCAUCGCAUCCUGGGGCUGUAGUCGGUCCCAAGGGUUGGGCUGUUCGCCCAUUAAAGCGGUACGCGAGCUGGGUUCAGAACGUCGUGAGACAGUUCGGUCCCUAUCCGUCGUGGGCGUAGGAAAUUUGAGAGGAGCUGUCCUUAGUACGAGAGGACCGGGAUGGACAUACCUCUGGUGUACCAGUUGUCGUGCCAACGGCAUAGCUGGGUAGCUAUGUGUGGACGGGAUAAGUGCUGAAAGCAUCUAAGCAUGAAGCCCCCCUCAAGAUGAGAUUUCCCAACUUCGGUUAUAAGAUCCCUCAAAGAUGAUGAGGUUAAUAGGUUCGAGGUGGA